rnacentral:rRNA from 1 species
UACGGGGGGAGCAAGCGUUGUUCGGGUUCAUUGGGCGUAAAGGGUGCGUAGGCGGCGCGGUAAGUCGGGUGUGAAAUCUCGGAGCUUAACUCCGAAACUGCAUUCGAUACUGCCGUGCUUGAGGACUGGAGAGGAGACUGGAAUUUACGGUGUAGCGGUGAAAUGCGUAGAUAUCGUAAGGAAGACCAGUGGCGAAGGCGGGUCUCUGGACAGUUCCUGACGCUGAGGCACGAAGGUCAGGGGAGCAAACGGG